rnacentral:rRNA from 1 species
CGCCUCUUGCUCUACUAUAAGAGGUCCAGCCUGCCCAGUGAUAAUAUUCAACGGCCGCGGUAUCCUAACCGUGCGAAGGUAGCAUAAUCACUUGUUCUUUAAAUAAGGACCAGAAUCAACGGCAUCACGAGAACUUUACUGUCUCCUCCCCCUAAUCAGUGAAACUGAUUUUCCCGUGAAGAAGCGGGGAUAAAAAUAUUAGACGAGAAGACCCCAUGGAGCUUCAAGCCCUAUAGUAACCUCAAGACGACAUUCCACAUAAUCCUUAAGCUCAUACUAGCAGGCUUUAGGUUGGGGCGACCAUGGAGUACAACCUAACCUCCACGAUGUACUUACCAAUUUAUCUGUGAACUACUAAUCUAAGAAUUUCUAAAAUAACAAUAUGAUCCGAUUUUCGAUCAACGAACCAAGUUACCCUGGGGAUAACAGCGCAAUCCAUUUUAAGAGCUCAUAUCGACAAAUGGGUUUACGACCUCGAUGUUGGAUCAGGAUAUCCUGGUGGUGCAGUCGCUGCCAAAGGUUCGUUUGUUCAACGAUUAAAAUCCUACGUGA